CCCUGUGACACCCCAUUGAAGAGCCGUAGGCUGUGGAUCUCUCAAGAUCUCACUGUUGGGUUUGUAAGGCCAUGUUACUCCUAAAUUUCUAUCUUGUUCAAAAAGAAGAUAUAAAACAAAGCUCUGAGCUAAUCGACCUUAGUGUUCUCCUUUUUAAAAAAAAUAAAUAAAUAAUCGAUAAAGAAUCGAAUCGUUAAACAGAAUCGAAAAUGGAAUCGGAAUCGUUAAAAUCUUAUCAGUACCCAUCCCUACCCAGCGUUGUGUGUUUGUGGACUUUUUUCAUUGUUGUGACCUUGAUUCAGUCACCCCAGCCAUAAACUGUUCAGACUGCUUCCAUCAGGAAGGAGGUUCUGCAGCAUCCGGUCCCGUACCAGCAGACUGAGAGACAGCUUCUUCCAUCAGGCCAUCAGACUGCUGAACACGUCAUAGACACCUCAGCUUCACUACUGGAACUUCAACAUUAUGCACUCCACACUGUAUAUAAAUGCCACUUGUUUUGCACAUAUUCAACUCUGUAUAUUUUAUAUAUUUUAUUAUUAUUAUUUUUUUUUUUUUUUACUAUUUAAUUUGUAAAAAAUGUGUAUACACACACACACACACACACACACACACACACACACACACACACACACGUAGGAAAAUAUUUAGUAUACACAUCCAGAAAUGCAUACACUAUUAUAUAUUGUACAUAUAUUUAUUAGUUUCAGGUUGGCCAUUCUUGUAUUUUGCUCGUUUGUGUUGUUGUGUUUGCACAUCUCUGUUGCUUGUGGGGCUCGCACACAAGAAUUUCACUCGCAUGUGCUGUGCCAGUGUGCCUGCACAUGUGAUGUGACAAUAAAAG
ensembl:lncRNA